GAUGAACGCUGGCGGCGUGCUUAACACAUGCAAGUCGAGCGAAGCAGUUAAGUUGAUUUCUUCGGAUUGAUUCUUAACUGACUGAGCGGCGGACGGGUGAGUAACGCGUGGGUGACCUGCCCCAUACCGGGGGAUAACAGCUGGAAACGGCUGCUAAUACCGCAUAAGCGCACAGAGCUGCAUGGCUCGGUGUGAAAAACUCCGGUGGUAUGGGAUGGGCCCGCGUCUGAUUAGGCAGUUGGCGGGGUAACGGCCCACCAAACCGACGAUCAGUAGCCGGCCUGAGAGGGCGUCCGGCCACAUUGGGACUGAGACACGGCCCAAACUCCUACGGGAGGCAGCAGUGGGGAAUAUUGCACAAUGGGGGAAACCCUGAUGCAGCGACGCCGCGUGAGCGAAGAAGUAUUUCGGUAUGUAAAGCUCUAUCAGCAGGGAAGAUAAUGACGGUAC
rnacentral:rRNA from 1 species